rnacentral:rRNA from 1 species
CCCACAACAGGUCAAAGCCGCAGCAAUGCGGUGAUGGCGUGCCUUUUGUAGAAUGAGCCUGCGAGUUAUGAUAUAUAGCGAGGUUAAGGCGUGGAAGCGCCGGAGCCGGAGGGAAACCGAGUCUGAAGAGGGCGAGCAUAGUUGUAUGUCAUAGACCCGAAGCCAGGUGAUCUAGUUACGCGCAGGCUGAAGGCAGGGUAAAACCUGUUGGAGGGCCGAACCCUAGUCUGUUUAAAAAGGCAGGGAUGACGCGUGACUUGGAGCGAAAGACUAAACAAACCUGGAAAUAGCUGGUUCUCCCCGAAAUGCCUUGAGGGACAGCCUCAUGCAAAUGUUGCGCAGGUAGAGCACUGGAUGGACUAGGGGGCUUCACCGCCUACCAAACCCAAUCAAACUGCGAAUGGCGCAAGACAACGCAUGGGAGUGAGACUGCGGGCGACAAGGUUCGUAGUCGAGAGGGAAACAGCCCUGACCGCCGGCUAAGGUCCCGGAUAGCAUGCUGAGUGUGAAAUGAUGUGUCGUGGCGCAGACAGCCAGGAGGUUGGCUUAGAAGCAGCCAUUCCUUGAAAGAGUGCGUAACAGCUCACUGGUCGAGUCACGGCGCGCAGACAAUGUAACGGGGCUAAGCAUGCAACCGAAGCCGCGGAAUCGUACCGCAAGGUACGGUUGGUAGGGGAGCAUUCCACGGACCGACGAAGGCGUACUGUAAGGUAUGCUGGAGGGGGUGGAAGAGAGAAUGCAGGUAUAAGUAGACGAAAAGAGGGGUGAGAUUCCCCUCCGCCGAAAGCCUAAGGAUUCCUGGGUAAAGGUCAUCUGCCCAGGGUAAGUCGGCCCCUAAGGCGAGGACGAAAGUCGUAGCCGAUGGGAAACUGGUUAUUAUUCCAGUACCGUUCUUGGUUUCAAGGGAUGACGCAUGAGGCGAAACCCGGCCGGGCGACGGUUGUCCCGGUCGAAGCGGCGAGCUAAUGGGGUCGGGGGAAACGACCACAGGCGAGCUGUGACAGCGAGCUGAGCUAAGGCGAGGCGAAGCGGGCGUAGUCAAGGUGCCAAGAAAUAAUCCCCUCUGGACAGGCCAAGAAGACCGUACCGCAAACCGACACAGGUAGGCGGGAUGAGAAAUCUAAGGCGCUCGAGAGAAUUCACGUUAAGGAACUCGGCAAAAUGCGCACGUAACUUCGGGAGAAGUGCGGCCAUGGGUAGUUUUAGCAAUAAUGUUAUCUGUGGCGUCACAAAGCAGUCCCAGGCGACUGUUUAUCAAAAACACAGGCCUCUGCGAACCUGCAAAGGGACGUAUAGGGGCUGACACCUGCCCGGUGCCGGAAGGUUAAGGGGAGCGGUUAGGGGAAACUCGAAGCUGCGAACCGAAGCCCCGGUAAACGGCGGCCGUAACUAUAACGGUCCUAAGGUAGCGAAAUUCCUUGUCGGGUAAGUUCCGACCCGCACGAAAGGUGUAACGAUCUGGGAGCUGUCUCAACGUGAAACUCGGUGAAAUUUAAGUACCGGUCAAGAUGCCGGUUACCCGUGGUUAGACGGAAAGACCCCGUGAACCUUCACUGCAACUUAUCGUGGGGACUUGGUCAGGCAUGUGUAGGAUAGGUGGGAGGCUAUGAGGCAUGGGCGUUAGCUUGUGCGGAGCCGUUGGU